AUAUCAAUAAGCGGAGGAAAAGAAACUAACAAGGAUUCCCCUAGUAACUGCGAGUGAAGCGGGAAAAGCUCAAAUUUGAAAUCUGGCAGUUCUUUGCAGCUGUCCGAGUUGUAAUUUAGAGAAGUGUUGCCCGUGCUGGACCGUAUAUAAGUCCUUUGGAAUGAGGCGUCAUAGAGGGUGAGAAUCCCGUCUUCGAUACGGACUACCAGUGCUUUGUGGUACGCUCUCAAAGAGUCGAGUUGUUUGGGAAUGCAGCUCAAAAUGGGUAGGUGAAAU
rnacentral:rRNA from 1 species